rnacentral:rRNA from 1 species
AAUAGAUACCCGGGUAGUCCACGCCGUAAACGAUGGAUGCUAGCUGUUAUGAGUAUCGACCCUUGUAGUAGCGAAGCUAACGCGUUAAGCAUCCCGCCUGUGGAGUACGAGCGCAAGCUUAAAACAUAAAGGAAUUGACGGGGACCCGCACAAGCGGUGGAGCGUGUUGUUUAAUUCGAUGAUAAGCGAAGAACCUUACCCAGGCUUGACAUCCCUGGAAGGUCUCCGAAAGGAGACUGUGCCUUCGGGAAUCAGGUGACAGGUGCUGCAUGGCCGUCGUCAGCUCGUGUCGUGAGAUGUUUGGUUAAGUCCAUUAACGAGCGCAACCCUUGUAAGUAGUUGAAUUUUUCUACCUAGACCGCCUCGGUAACGGGAGGAAGGAGGGGAUGAUGUCAGGUCAGUAUUGCCCUUACGCCUGGGGCUACAAACACGCUACAAUGGCCGGUACAAAGGGCAGCCAACCCGCGAGGGGGAGCAAAUCCCAUCAAAACCGGUCCCAGUUCGGAUAGCAGGCUGAAAUUCGCCUGCUUGAAGUCGGAAUCGCUAGUAAC